GCCUGGCUUCUCUUUCCCUCCCAAGUCCCCCAAGCGCUCCCAGACAUGCGGCGUCUGUGCCAGGGCACCCGGUUUGUGCAGCAAGGCAGAGCUUUUAAAAUCAGUGUUUGCUGAGGACCUUGUUGAACAAACAACUAGUAAAAAUCCUUCCACAAACAAACCUGUGCACAUUUGUGAGGACAAUUUGUGAGGCCUGGAGUCCUUUCCAGAAUCACGUGAAUAACCCUAAAACCAACUGUUUUACUUCCUCCACUGUGUAUCUGUGUAGCAAUCAAAUCAACUAGACUCCAGGCUCCCAGGUGGCUUUGUGCACUCAGGCUAGACCUUCAGUUGCAAGAGGUAAUGACACAGAAAGGAGGUAUGGAGACUUUCACAGCUAACAGAACUCUUCCAGAGAACAGAGUGUAGAAUCAGAGGGCCCACUCACUGUCCAGUCAUCAAGAUGUCAGGCUGGCAAGAGGCAUAAGGAAGUCUUGCUUUGGGUAAUCUGGAUUUAAGAACAAACGGAGUACAGGAUGAUCUGAGCAGAGAUACACACCGUGGGACAUCACGGUGUAUGAAAACCUGGCUUUUGAGUUCAGAUGGUCACCUGGUCAAGAUCAUCUGACACUUACUUCAGGGCUUGAUUUUUCUUCACUGGAGAGAAAUCUAUUUCAGAAUCAUUAAGGCCUGAAGUUGCCAACCAGGGAUGACUGUCCCUCUAAGAAACACUUAGCGGUUCGAAGACUUUCUCUUUGUUCCAGGCAGGGUGGCCACGGGAAUGCAGCAGGUAGAAUUCAGAGAUGAUAAAAAUACCCUAAAUGUCUAGACUGCCCUCUUUCUACUGAGAACUAUCCAGCCUCGGGUGAAAGUGUGGAGGAAAGAAACCUCAACCCCCAAAUGGUUUGUAUUUGAUUAAGUUCAUUUUAGGAAGAAAUUGGGCCUAAAUUCCAAUUAUUUUCAAUAGCUGACAAAAUUAGCCAUUUGGUAAAUGGAAUUAGCCUAAAGGGUUUAUCAAUGUCCACUCCUACCUUCAAUUUUUCCAGACCCAAGAAGUAAGUGAUUUUCAGGAAAAUUGGUGAAACACAUGGAUCAUAUUUUCUUAAGUUUUAUUUUGAAGUAUAAAACAAUUAAGGCCAGAUGGGUUUUGGUUGAAAAUCACUAAUAAAUACUUCAAGUCCGCAACUUUGCUGUAACUCAGAAAAAUGUCACUAAUAACAGCUACACACCAAGUGGAACUAGAAGAACUCAGUGUUUGGAGGUGUCACCCAACAGAAGUAUCCGUGAGUGAUGUCUGCAUCUUCAUAGCCCCCAGAAACACCUCCCUUCCUCAAUCAGUUAAAGAAACAGGCAUCGGAGGAAGCAAUGUCCAAGUCUGUAUGCAUUCUCUGGACAGGGUCCUUAGACAGAGUAAAACCUCCGUUUCAAACUCAGAGUUCUCUGCAUGCUCCUCCGCUGGCAGGGUGAUCCCUGCCUUACUCUACCCUAUUACUAAUAACUGUAGGAAGUACAGAUAACCAAGCAGAGUUUCAGAGCCAGCAAGGCUCAAAGAAAUGACAAGUGAAGACACUCGGCAGGCCAGAGCAGGGAAGCACAGCCAUGUGCAGCACAAAUGGUCAAAAGAAGCCUUACGUUUCUCUUUGAAGAGAAUAAACCGGCUGGAGAGGUGGCCCAAACUGCUCUCCCUGAGGAGAGGAGAGGUGGCCCAGUUAGGAGCACAAACCGCUCUCCCUGAGGAGAGGAGAGGUGGCCUAAGUUAGGAGCACAAACCGCUCUCCCUGAGGAGAGGGAAGGUGGCCCACAGUUAGGAGCACAAACUGCUCUUCCUGAGGAGAGGGAAGGUGGCCCACAGUUAGGAGCACAAACCCCUCUCCCUGAGGACCUGAGUGAGAUGCCAGAACACAGUGGAGUGGCUCUCGAUCACCUAUAACUGCCACUCCAGGGGAACCAGUGCCCUCUUCUGGCCUCUGUGGGCAAUUGCACUUACAUGCACAAACCCACAAACAGAUGUGCAAAUGCACACACACAAAUAUAAAAAUAAACCUUAAAAAAGACAGAGAAUAAACCAAAGGGUCACACCAACAGGAGAUCACACUAAAGUGAUUUUUUAUAGAAUAAUUGAAAGUAUUUUCCAGUAAAAUUCUACUGUUCAGGUGUGGAAGGCAUCCACGCUAAUCAGUAAGCCAGGUCUGGCAGCACGCAUCUGAACUCCUAGCACUGGAUAGGCUGACAUGGGAGAAUAGUGAGUUCAAGGCCAGCCUGGACUGCAUAGUGUGCCCCUGUUUCAAAAAUAAAAAGGAACCCAGAGAUAAAUCUCUUUUCGUAACUUGGAAGCUGGAAUCAUAACACAGUAAGAGGAGGAGGAGGAAAAAGAAGAAAACGAAGAGAUGACAGCUGUGUCCGCUCAAAGCCCAGGAAGCCACCAACCGCAGACUCUUUGAAGCUUCAGGAAUGACAACAGAGAAUCCACAGGCCCCUGCAAUCAUCAAGUACAUUUUUUGUGUGUACCUAUGUACAGAUUUUCUGACGAAAAAGUCCAUGGCUUUCACCAGAUUCUCGAAACUCUUCCUGACUUCCACAUACUUAACAGACACUUAAGACAGCAGCUUUACACAUGGUAAACAAAGAGAGUGUCUACGUUGUUACAGUCUUCCCCCCUCUUCCACGGCAGCAGCAUCAGGACAAUCCUCUCGGGGGAAGGCGGCUUCAUGUCGAAUGUGAGCACCUGGCUUGCCUGUCUCCAGCCAUCUGCUACAUUAAAGAAGACUUUCUAUGGCCGGAAUCCAAAACACAAAAUUAAAAGGGUUGCUUGCACCCAGAGUCAUAAAACAAAGAGGCUUUCCACAUCAGGGCUUGGAGAGAGCACUGUCUCUUCCUGGUUGGGGCAGCAUCUGCUGUCUCCUGCUGGCAAAUACUCCCGAGUGAACUCCACGAACUCCCACACUUCAGCUUUCUCAGUUUACAUCCUCAGAGACGCCAUCUCAUCCAUCUCGCCAUCUCGCAGGAAUCAAACCACAUGUGUACCUCACUUCCAAUCCAGAACAGCAGGUGGAAAUCUGGGAGUGUAAUAGGAUUGAGGAGAAGGAGGAAGGAGAGAAGACUCAUGUCUCCAGGAAGGCCUUUGACUGUGUGCAAUGUUAAUCACAAGAGGGCUGACCUUGACCAGGUUUCUUAGUCAAUUUCAUCUCUUUGCUUAUAAAAAGGAGAUACCAGGAGUAGCAACAUAAUAGAAUCAUCCAGAGGAUUAAGCUCAUGGCGCAGUCAAGGCACCCAGAACAGUGCCUGCCACAGAGCAAAUGCUAAACGGUGUUUGUUUUGAAGAUACCCAUUUCCUGCUGAUAGAAAAUUCCAAAAUAUCCUCAGCAGAUGCAUUAGUUACGCACAAUGUAUUCACUUUGUAGGGUAAUAAAUUGUCUUUUCUCUGUACUAUAA